UACGGAGGGUGCAAGCGUUCUCCGGAUUCACUGGGUUUAAAGGGUGCGUAGGCGGAUAGGUAAGUCCGUGGUGAAAUCCUGCAGCUUAACUGCAGAACUGCCGUGGAUACUAUCUAUCUUGAAUGUCGUGGAGGUUAGCGGAAUAUGUCAUGUAGCGGUGAAAUGCUUAGAUAUGACAUAGAACACCCAUUGCGAAGGCAGCUAACUACGCGAUAAUUGACGCUGAUGCACGAAAGCGUGGGGAUCAAACAGG
rnacentral:rRNA from 1 species